GAUGAACGCUGGCGGCGUGCUUAACACAUGCAAGUCGAACGAUGAAGCCCAGCUUGCUGGGUGGAUUAGUGGCGAACGGGUGAGUAACACGUGAGUAACCUGCCCCUUACUUCGGGAUAACCAUUGGAAACGGUGGCUAAUACUGGAUAUGACCUGUCACUGCAUGGUGGUGGGUGGAAAGAUUUUUUGGUGAGGGAUGGGCUCGCGGCCUAUCAGCUUGUUGGUGGGGUGAUGGCCUACCAAGGCGACGACGGGUAGCCGGCCUGAGAGGGCGACCGGCCACACUGGGACUGAGACACGGCCCAGACUCCUACGGGAGGCAGCAGUGGGGAAUAUUGCACAAUGGGCGAAAGCCUGAUGCAGCGACGCCGCGUGGGGGAUGAAGGCCUUCGGGUUGUAAACCCCUUUCAGUAGGGAAGAAGCGUAAGUGACGGUACCUGCAGAAGAAGCGCCGGCUAACUACGUGCCAGCAGCCGCGGUAAUACGUAGGGCGCAAGCGUUGUCCGGAAUUAUUGGGCGCAAAGAGCUCGUAGGCGGUUUGUCGCGUCUGCCGUGAAAGUCCGGGGCUUAACUCCGGAUCUGCGGUGGGUACGGGCAGGCUAGAGUGCGGUAGGGGUGACUGGGAAUUCCUGGUGUAGCGGUGGAAUGCGCAGAUAUCAGGAGGAACACCGAUGGCGAAGGCAGGUCACUGGGCCGCAACUGACGCUGAGGAGCGAAAGCAUGGGGAGCGAACAGGAUUAGAUACCCUGGUAGUCCAUGCCGUAAACGUUGGGCACUAGGUGUGGGGCUCAUUCCACGAGUUCCGCGCCGUAGCUAACGCAUUAAGUGCCCCGCCUGGGGAGUACGGCCGCAAGGCUAAAACUCAAAGGAAUUGACGGGGGCCCGCACAAGCGGCGGAGCAUGCGGAUUAAUUCGAUGCAACGCGAAGAACCUUACCAAGGCUUGACAUACACCGGAAGCAGCCAGAGAUGGUUGUGUCUUCGGACUGGUGUACAGGUGGUGCAUGGUUGUCCUCAGCUCGUGUCGUGAGAUGUUGGGUUAAGUCCCGCAACGAGCGCAACCCUCAUUCUAUGUUGCCAGCACGUGAUGGUGGGGACUCAUGGGAGACUGCCGGGGUCAACUCGGAGGAAGGUGGGGAUGACGUCAAAUCAUCAUGCCCCUUAUGUCUUGGGCUUCACGCAUGCUACAAUGGCCGGUACAAAGGGUUGCGAUCCCGUGAGGGGGAGCGAAUCCCAAAAACCCGGUCUCAGUUCGGAUUGGGGUCUGCAACUCGACCCCAUGAAGUCGGAGUCGCUAGUAAUCGCAGAUCAGCAACGCUGCGGUGAAUACGUUCCCGGGCCUUGUACACACCGCC
rnacentral:rRNA from 1 species